rnacentral:lncRNA from 1 species
CUACAUAAACAUGUACUUGGGGAAAAUUUACCUCCAUGACUGUGUCUUUGUGCAGUUGCCACCUCCGGAGGAUCCCCCCACCCCCCACCCCAAAUUGAACACACGUACAAAAAUAGACUUCCCGGGUGUCAAACGCGGCGCCUCAUGCCUUGGGAGGCGGUGACAGGCAGAUCUUUGUGAGUUCCAGGCUAAUUUAGUCUACAUAGUGCAUUCCAGUCAAGUAGGGGUUACAUAGUGAGACCUUGUCUUAAAAGGGUGGGGCUGGUGGUGGUUUGGAGAGAUUCCUUAAGUGAUUAAGCUUCCAGAGGACCCAAAUGAAAUUCCCAGCACCCACUGCUUGUAACUCCAGCUCCAGGGGAUUUGAUGAUCUCUUCUGGCCUCCACAGAUUGCCAGGAUCCACCUCAGGCCCUAAGGCUCGGCAGUGGUCACUUUUACUUGCUGAGCCAUCUCGCUGGCCAUGAACUAAGCUCUAAAGUUCUCACCGGCUUCUGUG